AGCAGGCUCAUAGCAGAAGAGCCUGAUGUGGGGCUCGAUCCCAUAAUGCCAGGAUCACGCCCUGAGCCGAAGGCAGACGCUUAACCGCUGCGCCACCCAGGCGCCCCCUCACAUAGGAAUUCUUAAAUAAAGCUGGGAUCCUUUUGCGUGUGCGCAUUUUGUAACAUUUGCACUGACCAGUGCACGGUGAGCAUGUAGUGCCUGUCCAUACUCCAGCGUACGGAAGUGUGUGUCAUUCUGUUUAAACGGUGCUGUGAUGGACCUCCUCGUGCGUUCUCCACGUAAGUGCAGAAGUCCCCCAAAGUGUGAUCUGUGAAGGGAAACGUGUUGGAAAGUAUAUUUAUGACUAGAUUGUUAUACACAAGAUUUUCACAAAUUGAAUUCUCAGGAGCAACUCGUGAGAAUGGUUGCUGCCCCAGGUCCACACCACUAGCAUCGUACUCUUUAGUCCUCACCAACACUGCGUGUCUACUCCUUUAAUUGCUGGUGAAGCUGAGGUGCUAUUUCUGGGGCUUAAGGCACCUCUGUGUAUUACAGGGGAUCUCUGUGUAUUCCAGGGCGUCUCUGCCUAUUCCAGGAGAUCUCUGCGUAUUCCAGGGGAUCUCUGCGUAUUCCAGGGCGUCUCUGCGUAUUCCAGGGCGUCUCUGUGUAUUCCGGGGGAUCUCUGUAUAUUCCAGGGCGUCUCUGCCUAUUCCAGGAGAUCUCUGCGUAUUCCAGGGGAUCUCUGCGUAUUCCAGGGUGUCUCUGCAUAUUCCGGGGGAUCUCUGCGUAUUCCGGGGGAUCUCUGUGUAUUCCAGGGCGUCUCUGCGUAUUCCGGGGGAUCUCUGCGUAUUCCAGGGGAUCUCUGUGUAUUCCAUAGCGUCUCUGCGUAUUCCAGGGGAUCUCUGCGUAUUCCAGGGUGUCUCUGCGUAUUUCAGGGUGUCUCUGCAUAUUCCAGGGGAUCUCUGCAUAUUCCAGGGUGCCUCUGCGUAUGUCAGGUGAUCUCUGUGUAUUCCAGGGGAUCUCUGCAUAUUCUGGGGCAUCUCUGCGUAUUUCAGGGUGUCUCUGCGUAUUCCAGAGCGUCUCUGCGUAUUCCAGGGGAUCUCUGUGUAUUCCAGGGCGUCUCUGCGUAUUCCGGGGGAUCUCUGCAUAUUCCAGGGGAUCUCUGUGUAUUCCAGAGCGUCUCUGCGUAUUCCAGGGGAUCUCUGCGUAUUCCAGGGUGUCUCUGCGUAUUUCAGGGUGUCUCUGCAUAUUCCAGGGGAACUCUGCAUAUUCCAGGGUGCCUCUGCGUAUGUCAGGUGAUCUCUGUGUAUUCCAGGGGAUCUCUGCAUAUUCCGGGGCAUCUCUGCGUAUUUCAGGGGAUCUCUGCCUAUUCCAGGGCAUCUCUGUGUAUUCCAGGGUAUCUCUGCGUAUUUCAGAGUAUCUCUUUGUAUUCCAGGGGAUUUCUGCAUAUUCCAGGGCACCUCUGCGUGUUCCAGGGGAUCUGUGUGUAUUCCAGGAUGUCUCUGUGUAUUCUGGGGGAUCUCUGUGUAUUCCAGGGGAUCUCUGCGUAUUCCAGGGUGUCUCUGCGUAUUUCAGGGUGUCUCUGCAUAUUCCAGGGGAUCUCUGCAUAUUCCAGGGUGCCUCUGCGUAUGUCAGGUGAUCUCUGUGUAUUCCGGGGGAUCUCUGCAUAUUCCGGGGCAUCUCUGCGUAUUUCAGGGGAUCUUUGCCUAUUCCAGGGCAUCUCUGUGUAUUCCAGGGUAUCUCUGCGUAUUUCAGAGUAUCUCUUUGUAUUCCAGGGGAUUUCUGCAUAUUCCAGGGCACCUCUGCGUGUUCCAGGGGAUCUGUGUGUAUUCCAGGAUGUCUCUGUGUAUUCUGGGGGAUCUCUGUGUAUUCCAGGGGAUCUCUGCGUAUUCCAGGGGAUCUCUGUGUAUUCCAGGGGAUCUCUGUGUAUUCCAGAGCGUCUCUGCGUAUUCCAGGGGAUCUCUGCGUAUUCCAGGGUGUCUCUGCGUAUUUCAGGGUGUCUCUGCAUAUUCCAGGGGAUCUCUGCAUAUUCCAGGGUGCCUCUGCGUAUGUCAGGUGAUCUCUGUGUAUUCCAGGGGAUCUCUGCAUAUUCCGGGGCAUCUCUGCGUAUUUCAGGGGAUCUCUGCCUAUUCCAGGGCAUCUCUGUGUAUUCCAGGGUAUCUCUGCGUAUUUCAGAGUAUCUCUUUGUAUUCCAGGGGAUUUCUGCAUAUUCCAGGGCACCUCUGCGUGUUCCAGGGGAUCUGUGUGUAUUCCAGGAUGUCUCUGUGUAUUCUGGGGGAUCUCUGUGUAUUCCAGGGGAUCUCUGCGUAUUCCAGGGGAUCUCUGUGUAUUCCAGGGGAUCUCUGUGUAUUCCAGGGCGUCUCUGCCUAUUCCAGGAGAUCUCUCCACAUUCCACAGCACCUGUGCAUAUUUCAGGGGAUCUCUGCAUAUUCCAGGGCAUCUCUGUGUUUUCCAGGGGAUCUCCGUAUAUUGCAGGGCGUCUCUGCAUAUUCCGGGGGAUCUCUGUGUAUUCCGGGGGAUCUCUGUAUAUUCCAGGGUGUCUCUGCAUAUUCCAGGGGAUCUCUGUGUAUUCCAGGGGAUCUCUGUAUAUUCCAGGGGAUCUCUGUAUAUUCCAGGGGAUCUCUCUGUAUUCCGGGGUGUCUCUGUGUACUCCAGGGCAUCUCUGUGUAUUACAGGCAUCUCUGUAUCUUGGGUGUGUAUAACAUGGGUUACUCCUGCAUUAUGGCAUAUCUCUAUGUUACAAUGUGUCUGUAUUACACAGUAUCUCUAUUAUGGGGUAUCUAUUAUGGGGUAUCCCUGGCUGGCUUUACAGGGUAUCUGUGAUAGCCUGUCUGUAUGGGGCACCUGUGUGUUACAGAGUUUGGGGCUUUGUGUACUAAGAGGUAUGACUACACCUCUUCAUUUCCUGUAUUUUUGUAGUGGGGCAUUUUUUUUUUUUACUGGAGCCUCUUAUUCUUGAUUUGUAAGAGUUCUUUGCUCAUUAUGAAUAAAUAAUGGGUAGGAAUGCUUUGAGAAGUACGUUCUAAUUAUUUUUUUUCUGGUUUAGUAUUUCUUUAAAUUUGCUUUUUUGUUUCCUAAAUGAAAGUGUCACGUUUCCUUUUUUUUUUUUUUUAAGAUUUUGUUUAUUUAUUUGACAGAGCACAAGCAGAGGGAGAUGUAGAAUGAGGCUCCCCCACCGUGCCCCCCCCCUCCCCCUGCAAGCAGGGAGCCCGAUGCCGGGCUCAAUCCCAGGACCUGAGAUCAGAUCAGAUCAUGACCUGAGCCAAAGCCGCCUGGCCCCCAAGGUUGGACCGCGCCGUGAUACUCCCACCAUGAGGACGCUGCUCAGCACGCUUUGGCUUGCUCUGGCUUGCAGCUCUGUGCAUACUACUCUGUCAAAGUCAGAUGCCAAAAAGGCCGC